UGGGGAAUAUUGGACAAUGGGCGCAAGCCUGAUCCAGCCAUGCCGCGUGAGUGACGAAAGGUCUUCGGAUUGUAAAGCUCUUUUGGCGGGGACGAUAAUGACGGUACCCGCAGAAUAAGCCCCGGCUAACUUCGUGCCAGCAGCCGCGGUAAUACGAAGGGGGCUAGCGUUGUUCGGAAUCACUGGGCGUAAAGCGCACGUAGGCGGAUUUGUUAGUCAGGGGUGAAAUCCCGGGGCUCAACCUCGGAACUGCCCUUGAUACUGCAAAUCUCGAGUCCGAUAGAGGUGAGUGGAAUUCCUAGUGUAGAGGUGAAAUUCGUAGAUAUUAGGAAGAACACCAGUGGCGAAGGCGGCUCACUGGAUCGGUACUGACGCUGAGGUGCGAAAGCGUGGGGAGCAAACAGGAUUAGAUACCCCCGUAGUCCCUGAGCGGGCUGGCAAGGCGCAU
rnacentral:rRNA from 1 species